rnacentral:rRNA from 1 species
UACGUAGGGUGCAGGCGUUAAUCGGAAUUACUGGGCGUAAAGCGUGCGCAGGCGGUUUCUUAAGUCAGAUGUGUAAGCCCCGGGCUUAACCUGGGAACUGCGUUUGAAACUUGGAGACUUGAGUGUGGCAGAGGGGGGUGGAAUUCCACGUGUAGCAGUGAAAUGCGUAGAUAUGUGGAGGAACACCGAUGGCGAAGGCAGCCCCAUGGGUUAACACUGACGCUCAUGCACGAAAGCGUGGGGAGCAAACAGG